rnacentral:piRNA from 1 species
UGCUUGCUUGCUGGAGCCCGAAGUCAUC